ACUGGCGUGGCAGAAGGGUAAUUGCGUAGCUAUUAAAUGACCUCCUUGACAAUAGAGAACUAUUGUUCAAAUUGGUCAUAGCUAAGGCUGCGGGUUCAAGUCCCGUCGUCAGUA